rnacentral:rRNA from 1 species
UAAGGAAUCUUGCACAAUGGGGGAAACCCUGAUGCAGCAACGCCGCGUGGAGGAAGACGGCCUUCGGGUUGUAAACUCCUUUUAUGUGGGACGAACAUUGACGGUACCACAUGAAUAAGACACGGCUAACUACGUGCCAGCAGCCGCGGUAAUACGUAGGUGUCAAGCGUUAUCCGGAUUUACUGGGCGUAAAGCGUGCGUAGGUGGUCCAUUUAGUCUUCGGUGAAAUCUCCGGGCUCAACUCGGAAACUGUCGAAGAUACUGGUGGACUUGAGUGUGGUAGAGGCAGAUGGAAUUGAUGGUGUAGCGGUAAAAUGCGUAGAUAUCAUCAAGAACACCCAUGGCGAAGGCAGUCUGCUGGGCCAUUACUGACACUGAGGCACGAAAGCGUGGGUAGCGAACGGG